GUCUCAGUUCGGAUUGGAGUCUGNAACCCGACUCCAUGAAGCUGGAUUCGCUAGUAAUCGCGCAUCAGCCACGGCGCGGUGAAUACGUUCCCGGGCCUUGUACACACCGCCCGUCAAGCCAUGGGAGCCGGGGGUACCUGAAGUGCGUGACCGCAAGGAGCGCCCUAAGGUAAAACCGGUGACUGGGGCUAAGUCGUAACAAGGUAAC
rnacentral:rRNA from 1 species